AUUGAACGCUGGCGGCAUGCUUUACACAUGCAAGUCGAACGGUAACAGGCCGCAAGGUGCUGACGAGUGGCGAACGGGUGAGUAAUGCAUCGGAACGUGCCCAGUCGUGGGGGAUAACUACUCGAAAGAGUAGCUAAUACCGCAUACGAUCUAUGGAUGAAAGCGGGGGACCGUAAGGCCUCGCGCGAUUGGAGCGGCCGAUGUCAGAUUAGGUAGUUGGUGGGGUAAAGGCUCACCAAGCCAACGAUCUGUAGCUGGUCUGAGAGGACGACCAGCCACACUGGGACUGAGACACGGCCAAGACUCCUACGGGAGGCAGCAGUGGGGAAUUUUGGACAAUGGGCGCAAGCCUGAUCCAGCAAUGCCGCGUGCAGGAAGAAGGCCUUCGGGUUGUAAACUGCUUUUGUACGGAACGAAACGGCUCUGGUUAAUACCCGGGGCUAAUGACGGUACCGGAAGAAUAAGCACCGGCUAACUACGUG
rnacentral:rRNA from 1 species